AACUCCCAGCAGGCAGAGGGGCGCUCGGCCCCGGAAGGGGAUGGAGCCGUUCGUCCCGCGGCUGUUGCAGCGGAGAGCUGGGGGUCGCGCCGGGCCGACGGGGCGAUAAGCCAUGCCUGUUUCAGCUGAUGAAACUGUGGGGAACCUAGCUGUGAGAGAUAGAGUCCCAACUCCAGCUGGAAUUGAAGGAUUACAAGAAAUAUCAUCUACACAGAAUGUAAAAGCUCGACAGGUCGUAUCACGAAUCAGUCGAGAGGAGCUGGAAGACAGAUUUCUUCAUCUACGUGAUGACCACAUCCUACUCAAACAGUAUGCAAAUAAGCAAGAGGAGAAAAUUAAAAGAAUGACCACCAAGUUAAUACGGCUUGUUAAUGACAAAAGAAAAUGUGACCAGGCUGGCUGUGGACCCAAGCGGCUGGGUCAGGCUCUGGAGAUGGAAGAAAUGAUUGAGCAUUUGCGAGAAAGAGUUUGUGAGCUUGAGAAACAAAAUGAGAGCCUCCGCAACAAACUCAUUUCAACUAAACAGCAGCUCCAGAUUCAAGGCCAUAGACCUUGUCCGUACAGCUCCAUUCAGCCUCGUGUGAACACUGGUCUCAAAAAAGAGAGUGACGCUGCUGGCAUGCCGGAGCAGACCAAGAAGGGAAUGAGAUUUCAGAGUUUAGAAGGGAGAUCAUCUGACCUUAUGCUCCCCAGAUAUGGACAGAGUCUGCUCGAGGAUUCAAGGGCUGAGAUAAGAAAUUUGGAGACUGUCAUUGAGUCCCAAAGGAAACAAAUUGAGGAACUAGACCGUGCCAGAGAGAUUCUUGUGAGUCAGCUCAGAAGGAAAGAAAAGGAGAUUGAAGAAUCCCUCCUACGGCUGAAAGAGCAGGGUACAGCAAGCCAAAGGCUAAACAUUCAGGACAAUGUGGAAAUGAUCAAGGUCCGUAAACAGCUGGCUGAGAAAAGCAAUGCCCUUUCAGCAAUGGAAGGAAAAUUUCUCCAGCUUCAAGAGAAUCUAAAGAACUUGAAGACCAACCAUGAUGCUUUAUUAGCAAAAGGUGACGAACUGAAUGUUCACCUUAAAGAGGAGCGAUUAAAAUGCUUUCAUCUUCAAAAAGAAUUGCAAUCGGUAACUAUUUCAAACAGAAGGACAGAAGAGUUACAGGAAAGAAUAAAUUAUCUAGAAAAAGAGAAUGAACUCUUGAAGGAAAACUAUGAUAAGCUGCAUAACAGUGUCUUCAGUCUGCCCCAUGAACAGCAAUGGAAAUCAAAGGAACAGCAACUGAAACUGCAAAUUGCUAAACUAGAGACAGCUAUCAAAACUGAUUUAGCAGACAAAAAUGAAAUCCUUGACAAGAUCAAAGUAGAAAGAGACCAAAAGGAAAAGCUUAUGCAAGACAACAAAGACCUGCAGUUACGCUACCUGGAACAAAAGCAGCAAGUAGAUGAUCUGAAAAAUCAAGUGAAGUUUUUGACCAAGUUUCAGGGAAGUGAUGUUGGUGUGGCAGAACUCAGUGAAAACCUCUUGCUUAUAAAGGACCAAAAGCAACAGAAUAAUGUGGACCUUCUGUUCUUGGAAAAAGUGGAAGAUGAUAUCCAUAAAGAUACAGAGUACUCCAUGCAGGAGCUGCAGUUAACACAUGCGGAAACAGUGCAAGAACUUGAAAAGACAAGGAAUUUGUUACUUGUGCAGCACAAAAUUAGCAAAGAUUACCAGACUGAGGUAGAAACAAUGACAAGAAAGAUGGAAAGUCAACAGAAAGACUAUGAGUUAAAACUGGAACAGUAUACCCAUCUUCUUGAUAUUAGAGCUGCACGUAUCAGAAAACUAGAAGCCCAACUAAGAGACAUUGUCUAUGGUAUGAAACCACUUAAGUCCAGACCAGAAGUAUUGCCAAGUGAUCCAGUGGAUGGAUUGGUUGAAACUGUUAAUUUAGAAAGAGGAGAGAACCUUUUUGAAAUUCAUAUCAGCAAAGUGAUCUUCUCUUCUGAAGCUAUGCACACUUUUGGUGACUUGGAGCCUGCAACCUUUUGUACUUACGCAUUCUACGACUUUGAACUUCAGAUAACCCCAGUAGUUUAUGGGAAUGCCCCAUUAUAUGACUUCACUUCUCAGUUUCUUGUGCAGUCUGAUGACAGCUUCUUCCACUAUAUACAGGACAACAGCAUCACACUUGAGGUUCAUCGUGCGUAUGGCAUAGAUUAUGAAACAAUUGCUUCUUGUCAACUUAAGUUCCAGGAAAUUUUGGAAAACGAUGGCAAGAUCUACUACACAGCAAAUUUAGUUGGGAAAACAGGACACAUUCAAAAUUAUGGUACCGUAGAAUACUGGAUCAGGUUACAAGUUCCUAUGGACCAAGCAAUUAUUCCCUACAAACAGAGGUCAAAGGCUCUGGGAUAUAUAAUGCCCAGUUUUAGAGAGCAUGAACAACCAUCCAAGACACCAACACUCAAAAUGAAGCAGCGUGCAGCUCAAGCACACAAGAGAGUCUCUUUUCUGGAUCUUAGUACAAUACAGAUGUCACAUGUGGUACAGGAGGCUAAACAGGUGUCAAGUGACAAAGCAAAGGAGAUGGCAGAAGAAAUUCAGCAGGAAAAAGAACUCUCUCAUCUGUCAGAGGAGCAGUUGGCUGACCAAACAUUGAUUACUUCUAGAGAUGAAACAGAAAUAAUUGAAGAAUUGCAACCAGAAGAUCAAGAUAAUCAAGAUGAUGCUGUUGAAUCAAUAAAAACUGACAGUGAUGACUGUAUCAUUUCAAGUCCAGUAUCCACAAAUAUUAAACAGCUGAGUCAGAGUGUACAUGGCAAUUAUUUGAAAGUACUUCUCAAAGAAACUGCAUGUCUUCAGCUCAGUAGGUGUGUAGAAACGCUGUCACUUAUAGGUUCUUCAGAAAGAUACAGAAGGAAGUUGAAAAAAUCUGGAUUAAAAUUACAUCACUCUGUCUUACUGAGUCACGAAUUACAGCAGAUGAAACAAUACAGCAGCUGUUUGUAGAAUGCAGAUUAAACAAUUUCCUUGCAGAGGAGACCCCACUGUCUCUUCCAAAACCAACAGGUGGUCAGAGGAUUCACUAUAACUAUAGCACUGUGAUAAAUGUUGAUAAGGAAGAUAAUCGUGCAGAAAGAGAGUAUCUCAAGUCAAUUCUUCUAAAGCCAGAUCUACCUGCUGACAGCCUAAAAUUUACAGUGGUCAGUGACCCCCCAGAAGAUGAACAGGAUCUUGAAUGUGAGGAUAUUGGGAUUGCUUAUGUCAGUUUAAAAGAGAUAUUUCAGAAGCAAAGAGAUAUCAUUGAGCAAGAUAUUGAUGUUUUUGAUUCACAAGAUGCCAGUGCGGUAAUUGGAAAGCUCACAGUGACAGUGGAAGCCCUCAAUGCACUGCGUUCCAUCAAUGAGGAAUGCAAAAAUUAUUAGGAGGCAGGAAAGGAACGUUUGCCUAUGGAAGUUCUUGCUCCCAAUGUAAAGAUUCACUUGAUGGUUCCUUAAAAAUGAGAUCUUUGUCAUUAUUAGGGUUAAUGUAUUUAAUGUAAAAUGUACAUGAAAAAGAUGCUUGAUGUCCAGGUAUUAAGUUUUGUACACUUUUCAGUCUGUUUCCUUAUUUUUAAGGUCCUUGCCAAAUCAUACUUCAGGCUCUCGACACUUGAUAGUAUCGCAGGUUAACUUAGUUCCAAAAAAGUUUGAUUUCAAAUGCAAGCUUGCUUGUAAGUUUUCAGAUACCAGUUGAGGGUAUUUUGUCUAAGGAGGUAAGUGGUGGUGAGCUUUCAAACAGAAAUGCUUGUAAAUUCUUAUUAAGAGUAGUUCUAUCACAGUACUCUGUCAGAAUACAAUAAUUUGUGUUAGAAGUGACCUCAGGUAGUUUUUAGUCCAGUUACAGCAGGAUUAGGUAUUAUGUUAGGCCAUGUUGCUCAGGGCUGUAUCCAGACUGGGCUGAAAAUCUUGAAGGACAGGGACUGCUUAGCUAGUCUGCACAACCUGUUCCACUGCCUGACUGUUCACAUAGUGAAAAAAGGAGAUGCAUUUCUGAUGGGGUUCUGCUGGAGCCCAGGCUAGCUCAGAGAAACACACCAGCAGCUGCACCAGGUAUGGGGAACUACCUUGACUUUAUUGGUGCUGACCGAAGGCAGAACCUUUGAGCCUUGUGCUCAACAGGCAGGAUUGUCAGCCACACUCAAGGAGCGGGUAGAGGAGGAGGAAGAGGAGGAGUCUCUCGGUGUGAGGUCCCAGCAGAGAAAGGUUUACUGCUGAAGGGAGUCAGGGACCCAAGAGCCCCGAGCACAGCUCUGCUCGGGAUUUUAUACAGCAGCAACGCAAUGGGAGGGUACGAACAAACAGCCAAUGGGGAAUCCAGGAGGAAGCAGCGAAGGGAGGGCGUUACAAUGCAGGAACCAUCAGGGAUGAGGGGGAAGAGAGGACCGGUCACGCAGGCCAGUGAGGCCUCAAGGGUUAGGGGAUUGACAGGGAAGGAUCCGGAACAAAGGACAGGGUUUACAGUGAUGGAGAAGGGGCAGGGUUGUGGUGACAGGCAGGGAAGGUUCAGGAAUAAGGGGUUGGGUUUACAAUGAAGGUCAGUUCAGUGGAGGAUUCAACUCUUAGGGGCAAACCAACGUGGGAGGAACAGGGGGACCACAAGAAUGAACCAUAUAACUGACAAACUUAUACAUAAAACCACAAAUAAACGAUUGGCACAACACAUCUCUGCAGAUUACUUCAACCCAAAUUGAAGCCAAACCUAGAUCUAAGCACAUGGAGCAGCUUUUGCACUUAAUGCACCAUAUAAUAAUUUAAUUGGUUGUUGUUUUUUUUUAAUUCUAGGGAUGGCAUGUUUGUCAUUUGUUUCAGACAUUUAACAUUUUGCACAGAAAUAAAAAUAACAAAGCAUUUUAGUGUUGAUUUUCAUGCUUUGCAGUAUGCCAUCUAAUUGUCAUCCAGUUUUGUGAAGCAGUUGACAAGAAAUAGCUGUUACUGUUGUCAAUGUGAUUUGCUCAGGUAAUGUUUCUGUACAUUUCAGUGGUAAACAAUUUGUUAUGUUUUAUUCCUGGGUUUGGAGUUUUUUUAUAUUAGGCUUAGAUUAUUUUAAGAGUAAGGAUAGCUGCAGCAGUGUAAGACAGGUCUUCCACACAAUUAGCAAUUACUUGUUUCACAUUUUUGUGGAUCUGGAAAAUAAUCUAUUUUCUACUUAGACAAACUGUCAUUCUUGUUAAACGCAGAAUUAUUUCCAUAUGUAUUAAAGUCACAAGAACUGAACCAUUCUUGAAAAAAUGUUACAAAAAUACCGUCCUUCUAUUGCUACCAAAAAAAUCAAUAAACUUUCUUUUGCUUGUUAUAAA